rnacentral:lncRNA from 1 species
UUUCAUUCUUCCUUUUUAUCGAUUCGAAAACGUGAACUAGACAAGGUGAAAUCUUCUUGUUUUGCAUAACUCAAAUUAUGCUCGUUUACUCCUAUGUAAUCUGUCACUUGUUCAUGAUCGCAUAGUUGGGUGUUUACUAAGUUCAAGAUUCUUAUAACUUGCUAUUCUAGAGUGCAUCAGAUUGUGAAACUUAUGAUCACUCUACUGUACGACAUAUCUUCCCUAUUUGAUGCAGAUGAACUGUGAUAUGUAAGAUAUGGAUGUGAACUGAAUUGAAUAUUAGGAUAGCAUGAUUACCUUGAAUGUUUGUGCUUUUGGUUGGCUGCGGUGAUGUUGAGUUCAAUGAGAAGAUAGCUGAAAACAAAUUGUGUAUUUUGUUUGCUUAACAAUGCAGGAGGAACUUAGGAAGAAACUGGAGAGGAUCAGGUCAAUCUUACCUCUCGAAUCUUGCAGCAAUUAUGACAACUUCCUCAAGCUGUUGAUGCGUAAAGAGAGAAGGAUUUGGUGGGUGAUAUAAUAAGGAGUGAAGUUGGUGGCUGUAAAGGGAGGAAAGCAUGGCUUUUGGUGGUUGAAGAGGUGGGGAACAAAGGAUGGUGGCAGCACACUUAUUUCUUUCCACUAACUCUAAUGAUUUUCCUUUAUUGCUUUAAUGAUUUUCCUUUAUUGAUUCCUUGUCGGCUGAUGGUAUUAAACAAGGAAUGGUGUUGCAUUUGAUGUGUAGUAAUGUGGGAUAUGGCUGAAGUAAAGCUCUUGCCUCUUGGGAAUUAUAAACUUGUAGUACAGUAACGCGCUUAAUGAAAUACUAAUCUUGAAUUCUUACUAAUGUAGCGUAUAUAUAUAUAUACUCGCACGAUAUUUGAUUUCUUGCUUGCUAGCAUCGAUGGACUGUAAAAUAAAUCUAAAUUAAAUCCGUAGAUUUAAUUCUCCUCACAAGCCGGAAAUAAUCCACGACUUAAGUAAUUAUAAAUAAUAGAAUCGAUAGUCUCAUCUCGCUUAAUUAAUUAACGUGACUUUGCUAAGUCAGUUAUAACUCUGAAAUAAUAUCAUUGACUGCUUUAAUAAUAUGAAUUCAGGAUCAUAAGCUGAAUUCAUAUCAGGAUAAUAAACGUUUUCAUUCACUGAUGAACAAAAAUAAACACUCAUUACUGGAUUUAAAAUAUAUAAAAGAGCGGGUCACUACAUAAACUGAGCCCAAUUGAAAAUUAAUGGCCCAAACUGAAACAAAAAUAAACAAAAACUCGGCCCAAUACUCAAACCUAGCCUAGCCCAAAACUCCCUCCCUUCUUCUCCCCCCAUCAGCCGCACACACACUCACAACUGCAGAUAAUUGCGUUUGUCCCACGAUUUGUUGCCGUUUCCAGUUAGCCCGUUGAGUAGCCUACUUUAGUAACUCCUUCUCUCUCUAGCGGUGAAUCUUCAACAGCCCUGAUACCUCCGGGACUUAGGGACGACGACGAGCGCCGUCGACUCCCUCUCUCUCUCUGAAUCAGUCCGGCGAGCAACCAUGAAGGUCGUCGCCGUCCUCUCCUUCGGUUCUCUCUCAAAUCUCCCCCCCUGUUAACAGAUCUGGAGGGCGCGGUCAGUGGCUCCACGCCACCACCGUCCGAGUCGUCUCCCUCCUUGGAAACGGCGAGAUCGCCGCUCCCUCCCUCUCUCUCUGCUCUCCCUCCGUCCGUGGCCGGACGACAGCGGCAGGGCCGCCGCGCCCUGACCUCCACAAAUCCCCAGCCCAGACCAGCCACCGCCCCAGCCCCUGUUCCCGAUUGCCGAAGUGUCGCAGCCCGCCUUAACUAAGGAUAGUUAAGCCGAGUGAUCUACGACUAGGGAUGGGGUUAAAGAAUAAGGGGAAGAAAGGGGCAUCAUUUGGAACCGUAAAUCUUACUCAACUUAAGAAAACUCGUCGUAUCUACUCAUUAAUACUCAAUUGAAAAGAGUCUAUGAAAGACAACAUAAAAACUUAAUUAAUACUCCCUCCGUCCGCGAUAUCGUUUCCACAUUUGCCAUUUCGGUCCGUCCGCGAUAUCGUUUCCACUUCCAUUUAUAGAAGUAGGGUCCACAAACUUCCACUCACAAUAAUAGUGGGACCCAAACUCCACUCACUACAUAUGCACUACUAUCCACUAAUUUUCUUAAAACCCGCGCCGUCCACAAUGUGAAAACGAUAUCGCGGACGAAGGGAGUAUCAUUAAUCAAGUUAUACAUCAGAUGAAACCAUUAUCUUAAGACUCAAAGUAUGACAUAACAUACUAUAACAUCAACAACAUCUUGCAGCGGAAAGUAGCUAGACAUAUGUAUGAAGACAUAUUCUAGACAGGUUAACUAUUUAUUAACAACCCUGGAGACUCCGCCCAUUGCAGCACCAUCACCACAUCAGCUCAACCUGCACAUUUAGAAAACAUAUGCAGGGCUGAGUACAAAAGCACUCAGUGAACACAUNAAGAGCCAAUUAAAUAAAAGACUGGCCCAAUUCGAAUUUAAAUAUGAAAGCCCAAGCAAUUAAAAUUGGAAGCCCAAUUUCAUUAAAAAUAAUCUCAAAAUUUCGGCCCACAUAAAUUAGAGGAAAGCCCAAACAAUUAAAAUUAAUCAAGCCCAAAGAAUUAAAUGAAAAGGCCCAAUCACAGCCCAAAUACUAAAAUAAAUAAAGCCCAAAUCCUUCUCCCCCAAACAUCUCGGUUCUCUCUCUCAGCAUAACACUCUCGUUCUUUCUCUCUUUAUUCCAAAAAGUCGAGCUCUCUCUCCCUUCAAGAAACCGCUUUCUCUCUUUUUCUUCUCUCAAAAUUGUCGGCCAUGCUCUAUUUCACUUCCUCUUGCUCAAAAUCCCAUCUCUCUCUCUCUCAAAGGAAACACACUGCUGCUAUCUCUCCUCACUCACGCCUCUCUCCAUCUCGCUCAAAAUCAGUCGAGCUCAGCCGAGUUCUCUCUCUCAAAAAUCACUCACGCCUCUCUCCAUCUUCCUCUUCAGCCGAGUUCUCCCUCAAGAUCAGUCGAGCUCAGCCCCUUCCUCUUUCUUUCUCGAUCUGUUCGUCCGAGGCGAGAAGGACGAGCCCAAUUUCUUCCUGAUAUUGAAAUCGCCUCUGUCGCCGCUGCAACAUCCGGGUCUCGCUCGACCUCCUGCGUCGGCUCUUCUCACUCUCAAAGAAACACACACACAGACGCACAUCUCACCCUCUCACGCGAUCUGCUGCCGCUGCCUGAGACCCGCGAAGGAUCCGGCGCAACCGCCGCCGACAAAUGUUGCUGUUGCCGCUGCUGUCUGAGAUCGGUGGUCCGCCUGCUGGAGGAACGCCGCUGCCGUCAGCUCGUCCGAAGUCGCCGCCAACUACCGCUGCCGUUUCGCCGGAGUCGCGGCCUGGAGCUGCUGCAGCUCGAGCCCUUGCUCGGCCAUGGUUCAGGUCAGCUGCUGUUGUGUGAUUUCCGGCGAGCAGGGGAGGGUCCACCUUUGUUGUCGUUGUUCCCGGCGAAGGGUGUUGCCUUCGUUGUUCUCCGGGGUCGAUGGGGUUCGAGUUGCGCCUCACGUCGCCGCUGCUGCCGUUCUCGGACUUCUCCGUCGAAAGUCUGCCGCCUCCGUCGAUUUCCCGAGCCCCGACGUCGCUGCUGUAACUCGGAUUCCGACAAGGCAGCUCGCUGUCGUCUUCCUUGAGCUCGACUAAACAGGGCAGUCGGCCCUAUUCCUUAAGCUAAGUUCUCUAGUCAUUCUCCUUUUAUCGAUUCGAAAACGUGAACUAGACAAGGUGAAAUCUUCUUGUUUUGCAUAACUCAAAUUAUGCUCGUUUACUCCUAUGUAAUCUGUCAUUUGUUCAUGAUCGCAUAGUUGGGUGUUUACUAAGUUCAAGAUGCUUAUAACUUGCUAUUCUAGAGUGCAUCAGAUUGUGAAACUUAUGAUCUCUCUACUGUAGGACAUAUCUUCCCUAUUUGAUGUUGAUGCAGAUGAACUGUGAUAUGUAAGAUAUGGAUGUGAACU